UUUAAGCAUGUUUCUUGACCUGCAUCAUUUGUGUAUGAUAUAUACAAACACAGUGGUUUAGUAUGUACCCAGUGGUAUAUAUACACACAGAGCACAACAUCACAGCCAAAUGUGAACGAUGAAAAUAGGGAUGAAAUAAACCACUUAGGGAUUCCUUAAUUUUGGACCUUGGAUUAAUCCAUUUUGGAUUAUACCACCCCAUAGCUUUCCAAAUCAUCUAUAAUCCCAAAGUCACAUGGAAUCUUCAAAUCACUUCCUGAAGUUUUUUCCAUCAACUGCAAUUACUGAAGAUUUUCCUUAAUUUGGAGCAGGAAAUUUUUUAAAAAAAUUCAUCAUAAACAUUAACAUAAAUCUUAAUAGUCCUCCCAAAUCGAGGAACAAAGGAAAAUUUCACUUCCAGCUACAUAUGAUUCAGGCUCGCCACUUUGCACCCCUGACUUACUGCUUAUCUUGGCUGGAGAUAUCAGUUGUAAAUUUCAAAAAUGCAGAUACCCAGUACAAGUACAAAAAAUUAGCCCACUUCUGCUUUAGAUUUUUAAACAAGACAGUAUUAUUCAAUAAUAUAUUUUUUCAAGAAAACUGGAUGAGUCUGAAGAAGUCUGAUACAGCCUUAAGCCAAUAAAGACUGGGAAACAUACUUUGAAAUUUGUUCCCUCCCACUGUAUUUAUCUGAAUUACACCUUGCUAUGUUAAAUCCUCUGACAGAGAUUAUCUACUUUAAUACUGAGUGAGAGGGAAGUCUACUAAUCUCGAAUGACUUAAAUUGAGGCAAUUUUUUCCACUUGGACCCUCCAGAUACGUUAGAAUUGUUUACUUCCAGAAAUUAUAGGCAGCAGAUCUGACGCAGCUGGGAGCACAGGAAUAGAAAUAAGGCAGCAAUAAGGUAUUUUGCCUCCACAUGUUAAAGAAACUCUUCCCUCUGGCCCUUCCUCAAAGUUGAUAGGGCCCCAUAGUUGCUGGCACUUUCAGAGUUCUUCCCCAUGUAGCUCUUGAUAUCCUUUCCUCCCAGCCUAUAUUGCUUGGGAAAUGCUGCCCCACAGUGUUCCUCUUGCCGGCAGCAGGACCAUGGUUGCUGCUCUUAGAGGGGUGAGGAGUCUUGAAGCCUUGUGACUGGAUGGUAAGGGACAGUCUACAAGGGUGGCCUCAAGUGCCUCCUCCAUAUUCGUAGAAUGUUUGCCAAAAUUUGCUCUGUUUCCCAACAGAAACACUAAUGUUUUGCAAGAUCAUCUUGGCUGGAACUAAGAGGCUCUGCUGCAAGGUAGAGAUCUAUGCAUCUCAGUAUUGAGUACUGUCUGAGCCAUUUAUAGAGUCAACAUGUUGCCCCCAACAAUCUGGGUCCUCAUUUUACUGACUCAGAAGAAUGGAUGGCUGAAUCAACCCUGAGCCUGUCAGGAUCAAACUCCUGCCUAUGGACAGUUAGAGCUUUUGAAUUUUGAAGCGGAUGUGACUCAGUGAAGAUGGUUCCUGGACCCAGACUCCUGGACUCGGAUGAUUCAGAAAGUGAGGGAGAAGACCUGGCAAGCCCUGCUUCUCUUGAGCCCUCUCCCUCCCUGGCACCCACUCAAAGGGAGGAGGAGGGGCCGGCAAGGCCUGAUUCUCUGGAGCCUUCUUCUGAUUUGGCAACGCCCCAAGAACAGUUUUGGAGUGAUGCAAGGUUGCGGAGGCGUGACCGGCGCGCGCAGCAGAAACAGCGUUGGGAGGAAGCCAAGUCAUGAUUGUCAUGCAGUGACAUCUGCAGAGACUAUAAAUAGGAGGCGGGACUUCCUGGUUUUUUGUCUUGGACAAAGCAAUGAAUUUGGGCGGGCAAACUGUAUCAAUGGAGGGAAGAAUAUAUUCGUGAGUAAUUCUGGCCUUAUCUAUAAUUUCCUCGUUAUCUCCAGAAACUUGGCAGGCCCGUGGGUAGACGUGGCC